rnacentral:rRNA from 14 species
GGGGUUGUGGGGGCCUGUGUGAUCCUGCUGCCGUGGGAUCGGCUUGCAUGUGGUGUGAAGUUGAAUCGUCUGGGAAGGCGGACCGUAGUGGGUGAGAGUCCCGUAGUUGAAAGUGUUGUGUGUGCGUUGACAAUGUCCCGAGUAGCACGGGGCUCGUGGAAUCUCGUGUGAAUCUGCCAGGACCACCUGGUAAGCCUAAAUACUCCCAGAUGACCGAUAGCGGACAAGUACCGUGAGGGAAAGGUGAAAAGUACCCCGGGAGGGGAGUGAAAUAGUACCUGAAACCGUUUGCUUACAAACCGUUGGA